GAUGAAGAACGCAGCGAAAUGUGAUACUUGGUGUGAAUUGCAGAAUCCCGUGAACCAUCGAGUCUUUGAACGCAAGUUGCGCCCGAAGCCAUUAGGCCGAGGGCACGCCUGCCUGGGCGUCACACGUCGUUGCCCCCCCAUCUACUCCUUCGGGAUUGCGGGGGGCGGAUGAUGGCCUCCCGUGCGCCUCGUCGCGCGGUUGGCCUAAAUGCCAAGUCCUCGGCGACGCACGCCACGACAAUCGGUGGUUGCGAAACCUCGGUUGCCUGUCGUGUGCGGUCGUCGCGCAUCGAGGGCUCGAAAAAAUUGCCGGGCUUCGGCUCGACUUUCAACGCGACCCCAGGUCAGGCGGGGUUACCCGCUGAAUUUAAGCAUAUCAAUAAGCGGAGGA
rnacentral:misc_RNA from 1 species